GCCGCCGAUACCCCCGCCCCAGCGCGGCCGGGCCGGGCCGGGCCGGGGCUGCCUCUUUCUCCUCUGCGCCGCCGGGACCGGGGGAGGCGGAGCAAAGGGGGGUCCUGCCCGUGCUUAUGACAAAGAGAAGACUGCGGAAAGGGCUUGCAAGGAGCUUAAGAUCUCUACACUCAACAAGUGAAGUCAUCCUUGGUUUUUAAGGGGAAAGAGUCUGCAAACAUAGAUGGGCAUAUGAUGCGGAGGACUCCGGACAAGCAUCUGAGUCAGUGCCAUCUGCCAAAAGUAGGAGCAACUCCUGGCAAGAAAUCAGGCUUAGGUCUGACUUGAUCUCUCAAAGGUGGCUGGUGCAGCAUCACACAUCGGAGCCCAAAAGGACUGCAAAGAGAAUCUGCUGAGAUGGAUCUUUGCUAAUACUUUCGCCAGUAGAGAUGUUCAUUCUGUGCAAGCAUGAUCCAAGCCUGGAGCUGGGCACUGUGCUCCUUGAAGUACACACACACGAAGCCAUGGAUGCAGACACCUAAACGCUCAGUUCAGGAUGAAUAAGAGAGGCCACGUGUCUCUCUCCUUCUUUCCCAAUUCUGCAUCCUGCUUACAGCAGCUCUGGCCCUCACUGGACCCUCCCCUUUGACUCACUAGUGUGGCAUAAAGCUAUGUAGGUUUUGCUCA